ACGAACGCUGGCGGCAGGCUUAACACAUGCAAGUCGAACGCCCCGCAAGGGGAGUGGCAGCCGGGUGAGUAACGCGUGGGAACAUACCCUUUUCUACGGAAUAGCUCUGGGAAACUGGAAUUAAUACCGUAUACGCCCUACGGGGGAAAGAUUUAUCGGGGAAGGAUUGGCCCGCGUUGGAUUAGCUAGUUGGUGGGGUAAAGGCCUACCAAGGCGACGAUCCAUAGCUGGUCUGAGAGGAUGAUCAGCCACAUUGGGACUGAGACACGGCCCAAACUCCUACGGGAGGCAGCAGUGGGGAAUAUUGGACAAUGGGCGCAAGCCUGAUCCAGCCAUGCCGCGUGAGUGAUGAAGGCCUUAGGGUUGUAAAGCUCUUUCACCGAUGAAGAUAAUGACGGUAGUCGGAGAAGAAGCCCCGGCUAACUUCGUG
rnacentral:rRNA from 1 species